AUUGAACGCUGGCGGCAGGCCUAACACAUUCAAGUCGAACGAGUGCCCGACGGGUGAGUUAUGUCUGGGAAACUGCCCUACGGAGGGGGUUUACUACUGGAAACGCUAGCUAAUACCCCAUCCCCUCGUUUGUGCCCAGAUGGGCUUGGCUAGUAGGUAGGGUAACGGCUCACUUAGGCGACGAUCCCUAGCUGGUCUGAGAGGAUGACCAGCCACACUGGAACAGUGACACGGUCCAGACUCCUACGGGAGGCAGCAGUGGGGAAUAUUGCACAAUGGGCGCAAGCCUGAUGCAGCCAUGCCGCGUGUAUGAAGAAGGCCUUCGGGUUGUAAAGUACUUUCAGCGAGGAGGCGGUAAACGAAGAAGAAGGACCGGCUAACUCCGUGCCAGCCGCCGCGGUAAUAG
rnacentral:rRNA from 1 species